rnacentral:rRNA from 1 species
UAGGUCUCAGUUCAGAUUGCAGGCUGCAACCCGCCUGCAUGAAGUCGGAAUUGCUAGUAAUCGCGGAUCAGCAUGCCGCGGUGAAUACGUUCCCGGGCCUUGUACACACCGCCCGUCAAACCAUGAGAGUUGGCAACACCCGAAGUCGGUAGUCUAACCGCAAGGAGGACGCCGCCGAAGGUGGGGUUGAUGAUUAGGGUUAAGUCGUAACAAGGUAGC